rnacentral:tRNA from 1 species
GGGUCGUUAGCUCAGUUGGCUAGAGCGUAUCUUUGACGUAGAUAAGGUCGUAGGUUCGACUCCUACACGACCCACCA